rnacentral:lncRNA from 1 species
CAAGAAAUCAUGCCUUUUUACCCGUGAUUCAAAUUAAUAGUCAGUAAAGGUUACUAAAUUAUAAACUGAUUUUACUCAUUUCCUUCUUCCUCAUGUUUUCCUCAUAAAGUGCCCUCUCCCUCUACUGCGCAGAAAUACAUUCACCCAUAGUAAGCCGCAAGAUAGAGCAGAUGCCUCCCGUCUUCUCUCCCAUUUCCAUUGGCGCUCAAAUCAUCUUUCUUACCACUAGCAGCAACCGUCACAAGGUAAUUCUCUCAACUCUCUCUCUCUCUCUCUAUUCCUCUUUGUUUCGAUUUUGAUGGCCCUUUUGCUCGUGAAAUGCAAAGCUAAAGUGCGUAAAUAUUAAUUUGGUGUUUGUAGUAAGUGUAGAAGAAGGUUGCCCUUCUAUAGAUUCAUAUUCCAAUUAAAUUAAAUAUAGGUUUCAUCGGUCAGGGAUUAGGGUUUCUUUACUAGUCAAAAUCCAUUGCUCUUUUGUUGUUUCUUUGUACUUUUGACCUACUUUGUUCUUCUUCCUUUGCUGGUAGGUCUCAUAUGUCUCAAUAUUUUUUAUUUUUCUCCAACAUCUAUAGUAGAAAUGUUUAAUUUAGACUUACCUUGCUCUAAUUUUAUGCAUAACGUUGAUGCAAAAAAGAGAAGAAGGUAAAAUUUAAGAUAUAGUUUGGUAACUUUGAUUUUCUGGAAAAAUAAAGAUUUCAUUUGGUAAUUGGAUUCACAAUAUGACUAUGUUUCUUAAAGUUUUUUGACGGCCGACCCUUUUGAUGUAAAAUCAAAUUGAUAUGCAUUUAAAUUGCUUCUCAUGAGUGCAAUUUAAUUACUAAUAAUUUCAUUCACAAUGGGUGAAGGAGAAUUCACAAUAUAGGGAUAUUUUUUAAGACGUCACACUUUGCUGUCUUAUACCAUCCUCUAACAAAGUAUGUUAUCUCUUUUUGUUGACAAUGAGUUUUUGGAUUACAUGUCUAGUUCAUUAUUAUACCUUUGAGGUAAAAAUUUAUUCUUCUAUUAUUCCUGAUAUAAUCAUAUUAAUACAUCUGAUAGAAGAUGUCCAAAUAUCUGCAGUAAUGCAACUUGAUUUAUGUUUGAGAGAAUAGGUCCUAAACGACAUAUUUUUAAAGCUAUUUUAUCUAGUUGUUUGUAUUGUUCGUUAGAUAUAAGUUGUUGAUGGAUUAGUUUUUCUUCACUUACUAACUCAAGUUAAUUGAAUGUUUACCUUAUUUGAGUGGAAACAUUCGCAGUUGUCUUCUGGAGUACACUCAUAUAAAGAAGAAUUAGAAGGUAAUUUCAUAUUGUGUUCCUAAAUCUUGAAGGAGGAAACCAUAUUAUUCUAUUUUUUAUUGAAAAGUUAUUCUAGUUAUUGAAGUUAUUCUGUCCACCUUGUUUUAUUUAUGUACAUGCGAUUACCCGUUCAAGAUAUAUAUAGAUAUGAAGGUCUCUAUAUCGUUCUGUAAUAAUAGUCUUGGAUUCUUAUCUUCAUGCCAUAGCACUUCCAUUAACUUAUUAAACCAUUUAGUAGGUAUCUUCUAUGAAUAACAUCGAUAAUCGUCAUUUAUCAAGCCAAAACUUGUAAAGUUCCACAUGUUCAAACUGUUAGUGUAAGUUAUUUGAUGAAUUCAUCGUUCGUAUCAAUUCUCUUGAGAUAGAAGAUGUUUUUUCAACUAUAUUAUAUUCAAAUGGUUGGCGUAAGUAAUUUGAUUGCACGUAUACUAACUUUGCUUUACAUAAAAUUCCAUUUUCUAACAUUCAUUUUAAUUUCACUUCUAGCUAGUUCAGUUCAAAAGUUACCUAAUUUUCUUUUAUAUGCCAUAUGUUUAUUGAAAGUUACAUCUUCCAUGGUAAGUUAUUUGAAUUCUAGUAUCUAUAAAAGUUAAAAUAUACUUCAAUGUAUUUACUUUGUUAAUUAAUAUAUCAAAAUUACUAAACGGAGAAAGAAAGUAUAUUCUUACACAUAAUUAAAAAUGCCAAGCAGUCUUCUAAUGCUAAAAAUAUUGAAGUUUUAGCUGGAACAAGUCUACUAAUUAGUAUGCCUUACUGUAAUGUGCCGUUAAAUAAAAUGAAUCUCGAAAAUCGGUGGCAUUUACUGCAUUGAAGAGUGAAAUAUAUAUGUAAAUUUUUAUUCGAAAGUUGCUGACGUAGUUGAGUUACUUGCUCCUUCUAUGAACCUUUUAGAUUAAAGGUUGUUCAAAGUAUAGAAUAGAUGGGCUUUAAACCCAUAAAUUGGCUUAUUAGCUAUAAUCUAAACUUGUAUUUUAAUUUUCUACUACUACCCCUUUCAUGUGGUCUAUCAAUUCCUAGAGAAAAAAAAGUAAAGCUUGUCUCAAUGAAACUAUGCAGAUUUAAGUUUCACACUGUGAUAUGUUCACAAGGAAUAAACCACUAGGUGUUGCCUCUUGUUUGAUCUUUCAACGAAGUGGUUUUAAGUAGAUCUAAAAUAUUUCGUGUUUAAUUUAACUGUUUGGAGCAUUCUAAGAGUGAAGUUAAUUAUUCUAUUAUAUUAAAAUAUUUAGUGGCUUCUUUCUAUAUUCCAGAAAACCUUUGCCAUGAAUUUGCUGAAGGAGUCGCUUUGGGGUAGGCACGAGUAUGGAUCCAACAUUGACAUACUUUGGUAGGCUAGUCAGAUAAGAUUUUGGCUCAUUGGAAUAUUGCCUGAAGUAUAUAUUGAAAUGGACGUAAGAUAUAAUAUAUCUGAUGAACGGAAUGAGGGGCAACCAAAUUUGUUAAUUUGUUCUCGAGACAUAAUGAACUAGAUUUAACAAAUUCAUUCUUCUAUGUUUCAGGUAUACCAUUGUAGGCUAUGGAGCUUGUGGGUUUACGAAACAAGGGGUGUGCAAAGCAAAGUGGGGUGACCAAGCUGGUGAAGAAAGACUAGAUUAAAUUACUAAUUCAAGUUGUGUACUAUUUAUUUUACGAUGUUGAAACUCUAAAGUUAAGAAUUUUGUCAUUUUUGUUUGUGGAUGUAAUGAAAUAUUAUUCUUUUUGGAAUGAGUAAAAGCAGUGUGUUUAUUUUAUGAUUUCAGGCC